UACAGAGGGUGCGAGCGUUGUCCGGAAUCACUGGGCGUAAAGGGCACGUAGGCGGUCUGCUAAGCGUGUGGUGAAAGCUCGGGGCUCAACCCCGAGUCGGCCGUGCGAACUGGUGGACUGGAGCAUGUCAGAGGCAGGCGGAAUUCCGGGUGUAGCGGUGGAAUGCGUAGAGAUCCGGAAGAACACCGGUGGCGAAGGCGGCCUGCUGGGACAUUGCUGACGCUGAGGCGCGACAGCGUGGGGAGCAAACAGG
rnacentral:rRNA from 1 species